ACGAGGCAAAUAUUGCAAAAUAACGCAAAUCUUUUCGUGAUAUCUAAUUCAAUAUUUCCGUAAUUUUUACAUAAUUGUUACGGUUUCAAUAUCAAACAAUCGUAAAAAAAAGAAAGUUGAUCUUGGACAAUUUUUUGGUAAAUGUGAUUAACUGCUCGAAGUCAAAGAAAUCGUGUAACCUACUUCGUAGCUAGCGAACUGCAGGCGUAUCUCCGUUCCAUCGAGUGCACCGCCUACGUAUAUACCUUCUAUAACAUCUUAAACAUAUCACACUGAGGUUUUUGUAAUCGCUGCUAACCACACAUUGAGGCGCAAAGUGUAAACCUGUCAUCAUGGUGGAUCGCCUAGUUAACUCGGAGGCCAACUCCAGGCGUAUAGCUAUGGUAGAAAGCUGCUUUGGUAGCUCAGGCGUGCCUUUGGCAAUUCCUGGACGGGUGCUAGUUGGCGAAGGAGUUCUCACUAAAAUGUGCCGCAAGCGUCCAAAGUCCAGACAAUUCUUCCUCUUCAAUGAUAUCUUAGUGUAUGGUAAUAUUGUUAUUGGGAAGAAGAAAUAUAAUAAGCAGCAUAUUAUGCCAUUGGAAGAAGUGUCACUUGAAUCAUUAGAAGAUAAUGGUCAAUACCGAAAUGGCUGGCUCAUACGUACCACAACAAAAUCUUUUGUUGUUUUUGCCGCUACCAGCACUGAAAAGCAGGAAUGGAUGGCACACAUCAACAAGUGUGUGGAAGAUUUGUUGCGCAAGAGUGGCAAGAAGCCCGUUGAAAAUCACGCUGCCGUAUGGGUGCCUGACGCUGAGGCCACCCACUGUAUGCAUUGCAAGAAAACUCAAUUCACAAUGAUCGUACGUCGUCAUCAUUGUCGUAAUUGCGGUGCAGUCGUUUGCGGGCCUUGUUCGUCGAAGAAAUUCCUAUUACCUCAACAGAGCUCUAAGCCGGUGCGUGUGUGUACCGCUUGCUAUGAACGGCUGUCUAAAGUCGUCAAAAUAGAAUCGUCCAAAACGGCUCUUGGAACUACUGCUGGAAACCAAGGGACACCUGCAGCGUCCAUCGAUGGUAAUGGCGCUGGUGCAGUAGCGAAAUUAGCUGAUAGUUCUGGGGAUGAUGAUUCCGACGAGGAAGGCGCUGGCAAUGUUAGCGAAAUGCACGAUGAACCACGUUUCUACGGUGAUACAACUUUGUCGGCUGAUGAAUCUACAGCAUCAUCAGCGGCGCUCAAUUCCAGCCACACACCCAGUGUUAACAACUGAUGCGUGCAGUCAACUGCGUUGGUGGGGGGUUUAUUAGAAGAAAGCGGUGACGGGCAUGGGGACAAAUGCCGUCACAAUGUCAGAUGUAGCGAAACAACAAAAUGAAACAACUGAAACAAACCAGCCAGAACAGCAAGAGGAUGGACGUAAUAAAAAGGUGUGGCACUUCGUCUGGCAACGAAAAGGAUUAACAAAAAUAUUCUUCCCUGGAAAUGGAAGAAGAAGAACGUAAAAAACGUGAAGAAGCACGCAUUAAGGAGUUGCGAAAGCUCACUACAUUUAAAGCACGACCAAAUCCUUUCAAGUAGACUCCUACCAACAACCACAGUAAUACAUAGAUAUAUAGUUAUAAAUAUGAUUUAAACGCCACAUGUUAAUAUACAUAAAUAUCAAUUAAAAUAUCAAAACACAAA
rnacentral:misc_RNA from 1 species